rnacentral:rRNA from 1 species
UAAUGGGCCUACCAAGGCGAUGAUGCAUAGCCCGAGUUGAGAGACUGAUCGGGCCACAUUGGGGACUGAGACACGGGCCCAAAAACUCCUACGGGGAGGGCAGCAGUAGGGAAUCUUCCACAAUGGACGCAAGUCUGAUGGAGCAACGCCGCGUGAGUGAAGAAGGGUUUCGGCUCGUAAAAGCUCUGUUGUUGGUGAAGAAGGACAGGGUAGUAACUGACCUUUGUUUGACGGUAAUCAAUUAGAAAGUCACGGCUAACUACGUGCCAGCAGCCGCGGUAAU